CAGCAGAUCCUCUCAAGGCCACCCAGAAUUUCUGACCUGUUGGUGCAGAGGAGCCCAUCUGCACCCCCUGGAAGUGAUGUUGCAUUGACUGCCCAUCAGAAGCAAACACAGUAACAUGAAUGGCAGCCCCCCUGUGGCCAAGCUGAACAGCUGCUGCGGUGCUGGCUGAAGCUGCUGUCCUUCACACCUCAAGACUGCCAC